UGGCCAUAUCAGGUUGAAACAUCGGAUUCCAUACGAUCACCGAUGUAAAGCAACGUUGAGUCUAAUCAGUUCCUAGAUGGGUGACUGCAUGGGAAUACUAAGAGGUGUAAG